rnacentral:tRNA from 1 species
GGAGAUGUGGCUCAGUGGUAGAGCACUUGCCUUGCAAGCGUGAGGCCUCGGGUUCAAUUCCCAGCACCA